AAUCUCACACAAACAUGCUUUCCCCAGCGGCAUUUCUGCAUUUGUUUGCCAGUGGAGCCCGGGACUACAGAAGGACACAGGAGAUUCAGCUUUGAAACCAAAGGUUUAAUCAAAGUGUUGUGUGAAGACCUGGUUCUUCCUUGAUUGAUGGCUUGCUUACUGCUUGCUGACAGCUGGAAAGGUUCACCCUUUGGGGCAGAAAGACAGUUAACACUCAGGAUUUUGUAAGAUGGCAGGAGCCAAAGGGCUCUGCAGAGCCUUGUGUUGCAGUCAAAGUUCAAAAAGGUACCCCACAGAACUGCUAUCUGGGACUCAUGCUUCCUUCAAGCUUCCAAGUCCUGCCUGCUCCACUGACACUGGCCCAGGGAGGCUGCAAUACUUCUUCCUGAGCUAAAGGGUGGGAUGAGGCUGAAGGGGCCUCUGCACAUACCCAGCAGCAAACAGGCCUUGUGCAAAGAGCAAAUGUGCUGCAUGGCAUUAAAUACUUGCAUAUGAGCCUCCCCAGACCAUGGGGGAGAGUACCCCAGAGAG
rnacentral:lncRNA from 1 species